UUCUUUUAAUAUAUUCUUUUUUUUUUCUUUCUUUAAAUAUUAAGCCUAUUAUACUCCAAAGCCCAGCCCCAUUUUAAGUGUUUUAACCCCUGAUCACUGAGUCGAUACCCCGUCCGAUUGAUCUAGAACCCGGCAACGCAUGCCAAGGCUCUGCCUGACUGAGAGUUAUACCCCAAGAUUAUACCAAGAGGCUUUUAGUUGAACCCUAAAGUUACAAAGUGAGUCAUGCUUCUUUUUAUAACCUUUUUGUGAUACCUUUAUAUUUAAAAAAGCUUUACAAAACCCUAAAUGUUUAUCAGUUAUACUUACAAUGAUUAAGUUUUUGUAUUCUACAAUUACUAUCGGUAUGUGGGGUUAUAAUUGGGUUCAAGAUUGAAGGGGUUAAGUUAAAAUACAUAUAUUAUUAAUGUAUUUUUAUAAAAACUGGUUAUGAAUAUAUU
rnacentral:lncRNA from 1 species